rnacentral:rRNA from 1 species
ACGUACUGGUGUUACUGGUUCCUACCUUCUGACGAACCAUCAUGUCAUUAAUUUGGUGUGGCGGGGAAUCAGGACUGUUACUUUGAAAAAAUUAGAGUGUUUAAAGCAGGCUCGCGCUUGAAUACAUUAGCAUGGAAUAAUGAAAUAGGACGUUGACCCUAUUUUGUUGGUUUCUAGGAUUGACGUAAUGAUUAAUAGGGAUAGUUGGGA